rnacentral:rRNA from 1 species
GGGGAAUUUUGCGCAAUGGGCGAAAGCCUGACGCAGCAACGCCGCGUGGAGGAUGAAGGUGCUCUGCAUUGUAAACUCCUGUCGGCCGGGAAGAACCGGCGGGGCGCUAAUCAGCCCCGUCCUGACUGUACCGGCAAAGGAAGCCCCGGCUAACUCCGUGCCAGCAGCCGCGGUAAUAAGGAGGGGGCAAGCGUUACUCGGAAUUAUUGGGCGUAAAGGGCGCGUAGGCGGUUCCGUGCGUCGGAGGUGAAAUCCCCGGGCUUAACCCGGGAGCUGCCUCCGAUACGGCGGGACUUGAGUCCGGGAGAGGAGAGCAGAAUUCCCAGUGUAGCGGUAAAAUGCGUAGAUAUUGGGAGGAAUACCAGUGGCGAAGGCGGCUCCCUGGACCGGUACUGACGCUGAGGCGCGAAAGCGUGGGUAGCAAAC